rnacentral:rRNA from 1 species
AGUCGAACGGAAGUCGUUAUAAAAAGGAUUGAAGAUUUAUCUGAUUGAGAUUUUAUAACAAUGGCUUUAGUGGCGGACUGGUGAGUAACGCGUGAGCAACCUGCCUACUAGAGGGGAAUAACAGUGAGAAAUCACUGCUAAUACCGCAUAUGCCAUGAACAUCACAUGAUGAAAAUGGGAAAAGAGUAAUCUGCUAGUAGAUGGGCUCGCGUCUGAUUAGAUAGUUGGUGGGGCAACGGCCUACCAAGUCGACGAUCAGUAGCCGGACUGAGAGGUUGAACGGCCACAUUGGGACUGAGAUACGGCCCAGACUCCUACGGAAGGCAGCAGUCGGGGAUAUUGCGCAAUGGAGGAAACUCUGACGCAGUGACGCCGCGUGCAGGAAGAAGGUUUUCGGAUUGUAAACUGCUUUAGACAGGGAAGAACAAAGACAGUACCUGUAGAAUAAGCUCCGGCUAACUACGUGCCAGCAGCCGCGGUAAUACGUAGGGAGCGAGCGUUAUCCGGAUUUAUUGGGUGUAAAGGGUGCGUAGACGGGAAGUCAAGUUAGUUGUGAAAUCCCUCGGCUUAACUGAGGAACUGCAACUAAAACUGAUUUUCUUGAGUACUGGAGAGGAAAGUGGAAUUCCUAGUGUAGCGGUGAAAUGCGUAGAUAUUAGGAGGAACACCGGUGGCGAAGGCGACUUUCUGGACAGAAACUGAUGUUGAGGCACGAAAGUGUGGGGAGCAAACAGGAUUAGAUACCCUGGUAGUCCAUACCGUAAACGAUGGAUACUAGGUGUAGGGGAUAUUAAAAUUCUCUGUGCCGCCGCUAAC